rnacentral:rRNA from 1 species
UACGGAGGGAGCUAGCGUUGUUCGGAAUUACUGGGCGUAAAGCGCGCGUAGGCGGCUUUGUAAGUUAGAGGUGAAAGCCCGGGGCUCAACCCCGGAAUUGCCUUUAAGACUGCAUCGCUAGAAUCGUGGAGAGGUAAGUGGAAUUCCGAGUGUAGAGGUGAAAUGCGUAGAUAUCUGGAGGAACACCGGUGGCGAAGGCGGCAUCCUGGACCGGCAUUGACGCUGAGGAGCGAAAGCCAGGGGAGCAAACGGG